GUGCUCUCACUUCGUCAGCACAUAUACUACAAUUGGAAUGAUACAGAGAAGAUUAGCAUGGCCUCUGAACAAGGAUGACAUGCAAAUUCAUGAAGCAGUCCAUAGUAAA
ensembl:snRNA U6 U6 spliceosomal RNA